GAGUUUGAUCCUGGCUCAGAGUGAACGCUGGCGGUAGGCCUAACACAUGCAAGUCGAACGGCAGCACAGUAAGAGCUUGCUCUUAUGGGUGGCGAGUGGCGGACGGGUGAGGAAUACAUCGGAAUCUACCUUUUCGUGGGGGAUAACGUAGGGAAACUUACGCUAAUACCGCAUACGACCUUCGGGUGAAAGCAGGGGACCUUCGGGCCUUGCGCGGAUAGAUGAGCCGAUGUCGGAUUAGCUAGUUGGCGGGGUAAAGGCCCACCAAGGCGACGAUCCGUAGCUGGUCUGAGAGGAUGAUCAGCCACACUGGAACUGAGACACGGUCCAGACUCCUACGGGAGGCAGCAGUGGGGAAUAUUGGACAAUGGGCGCAAGCCUGAUCCAGCCAUACCGCGUGGGUGAAGAAGGCCUUCGGGUUGUAAAGCCCUUUUGCUGGGAAAGAAAAGCAAUCGAUUAAUACCCGGUUGUUCUGACGGUACCCAAAGAAU
rnacentral:rRNA from 1 species